rnacentral:rRNA from 1 species
ACUCAAAUGAAUUGACGGGGGCCCGCACAAGCGGUGGAGCAUGUGGUUCAAUUCGACGCAACGCGAAGAACCUUACCUGGGCUCGAACGGCUCACGAACGUCCUUGGAAACAGGGAUUUCCCGCAAGGGACGGGAGUCGAGGUGCUGCAUGGCUGUCGUCAGCUCGUGUCGUGAGAUGUUGGGUUAAGUCCCGCAACGAGCGCAACCCUUGUCCUGUGUUGCUAAUCCGAAAGGAUGCACUCGCAGGAGACCGCCAGCGAUAAGCUGGAGGAAGGUGGGGAUGACGUCAAGUCCUCAUGGCCUUUAUGUCCAGGGCUACACACGUGCUACAAUGGUUGGUACAGAGCGCUGCUAACCCGCGAGGGGGAGCCAAUCGCAAAAAGCCAAUCUCAGUUCGGAUUGCAGGCUGCAACUCGCCUGCAUGAAGCUGGAAUCGCUAGUAAUGCCGUAUCAGAACGACGGCGUGAAUACGUUCCCGGGCCUUGUACACACCGCCCGU